rnacentral:rRNA from 1 species
UACGGAGGGUGCAAGCGUUAUCCGGAUUUACUGGGUUUAAAGGGUGCGUAGGCGGGUAAGUAAGUCCGUGGUGAAAUCUCUGAGCUUAACUCAGAAACUGCCGUGGAUACUAUUUGCCUUGAAUAUUGUGGAGGUGAGCGGAAUAUGUCAUGUAGCGGUGAAAUGCUUAGAUAUGACAUAGAGCACCAAUUGCGAAGGCAGCUCACUACACAAUCAUUGACGCUGAGGCACGAAAGCGUGGGGAUCAAACAGG